rfam:Glycine max cultivar Williams 82 chromosome 2, whole genome shotgun sequence.
UCCGUUGUUGUCCAGCUAUUAGGAUAUCUGGCUUUCACCCAGAAGACCCGGGUUCGUUUCCCGGCAACGGAA